AGUAAGAAUGUAUGAAUAAGUUUAUUGGCCAAGUAUUCACAUACAAGGAAUUUGCCUUGGUGCUCCGCCCACAAGUAACAACAUGACAUUCAGUGAUAGUUAGGAAUGACA